UGUCUAUUGUUAAAUUUCCCAAGUGGGCUAUUAAAGCUAUCACAUCUCAGAUGGCACAUUUCCUAUGGAAGUAAUUUUGGAGAUAACCAUAAACACCAUCUGGCCAACUCGGGGCUUGUUUCUCAGAAAAAAGAUGUUGGUGGUCCAAAUAUCCCUAAUUUGAGAGAAGUUAAUAUGUCUCUGCUUGCUUCCUGGGCUAGGAGAUAUUUAUCUAGCAAGGAAAAAAACUGGGUGGCCUUUGUAGAUUAUAAGUAUCAAACUGGGAAACCUAAUCUGCUUUGGUGUAAAGAGGGGGUGGGAUCUCCUUUCUGGAAAGGUUUUACACGGGCUUUAGCUGGGGUUAGGCCUUUUUAUAGGAGGAUUCUAGGAGAUGGCAACAACAUCUAUUUUUGGCAU
rnacentral:rRNA from 1 species